UUACAGAGCAUUGCUUUGUCAAUAAUGUUGUUAGCAGUCAUGGAGCCAAACCACAGUCACUUGUUCAGUGGUGCAAGAGUGGAAGAAGCUAUGGCUAAUAUGUCACACAGCGGGUGGGAAACAAGCUGUGCAGAGCCCACUGUUUGUACCAGACAUGAAGCUGGUCACAUCUCCACCGUAAUGAAAUGGAUCUUGGAUUUUCAUUCAAGCCAAGAAGGGCUGCCAGGAAAAAGAAGUCCAUUAUUUGUGGCUGAUAGGGGAGCAGGAGAGGAGGAGUCUUUUGUCUGCUGCUUCCCCGGGGCCUGGAGCGGAGCGGAGGCUGCUGCUGGCUGGGAAGGGAAGGCAGGAGCGCCGUGGUUUCCCAGGAAGAUUUGCUGAGCAUUGAAUUGUCUGAGGGCAGCGUAGCACACAAUGUCUUUCAGCCUGGCUCAGUAGAGCCAAAAAUGCAGUAAAAAAUCAUUCCUGGUUCCUGAACGACCUGCUAAAAACAGCUUCAAGCAAGUUCUUCUCCCUGCCAUGAGAGCUGCAGCAUCCAGGCUCAGCACAGCAGUUUCAGGUAAAUGAUUGGGCCACAUCCCUGGCCUCUGCAGUGACAUGCCAUGCCUUGGGACCACAGCGGAUGCUUGUCUUCAUGUGCGAAACUCGUGCAUCUGCACAAGAAAGGAACAACUUUUUCCACUAUGCAAGAGGAUGCUGACAACUCAAUUUUGGUCACUUACUGCCAAACUCAACUUGCAACAG